UACGGAGGGUGCAAGCGUUAUCCGGAUUCACUGGGUUUAAAGGGUGCGUAGGCGGGCAGGUAAGUCCGUGGUGAAAUCUCUGAGCUUAACUCAGAAACUGCCAUGGAUACUAUUUGUCUUGAAUGUUGUGGAGGUAAGCGGAAUAUGUCAUGUAGCGGUGAAAUGCUUAGAUAUGACAUAGAACACCCCAUUGCGAAGGCAGCUUACUACACAAAUAUUGACGCUGAGGCACGAAAGCGUGGGGAUCAAACAGG
rnacentral:rRNA from 1 species